AUUGAAGUUCUGUCAGAGAUGUUCAAGACAGUUCUUUCCAAUUAUGAGUUGAACUUGUCAGAUAAUAAUGAUUUCCAGAGUUAUCUGUUAUGGUCUUCAGUGUGCAGUACUCUGUGUGUGUGCGUCAACAAUCCUCAAAAUGAUGAGAAUCAACUACUUUGUUGUUCACUUUUUCCAUAUGUAAAUGAAUGGCUAAUGAAUUGCAUGAAAUCUGAGAUAAUUCGACCUAUAUGUUCAUUUAUUGGACUUACUCUUGCAAAUAAUACACAUGUUCAGAACUGCUUUGUGUCUUCCGGUGGACUGGAUGUUUUGUCUCAAGUUCUUGUGCGGCUGGAGUCUGAUUCACACAGUACUUUUUCCAGUGCUAAGCUUGCAGUGGUAGUGAUAAA
rnacentral:lncRNA from 1 species